UACUUCCUCUUGGAAAUAAGUAAAAGUACAAUAAAAGAAUUCUAACAAUUAUCGUUCUGGAGCAACUUAUCGCUGCCAUAACGUUGAUCGAACAAAGCUAGGACAGAUAUAGCAGUCACCGUCAUCCUCGCAGACCAUUCAUAGUCUUGAAUGACCAAUUUCGAGAUGAGCUAUAUAUUCAGAGCGCGUUUGCUCGCCUCGAAGGGCUUGCGUCGUGUUUCACUGACGUUCGUUCUAGCCUUGUUAGCGGUUCAACAAUGUAAAUCAAUCGGAAAAUAAGGCAAUUUACUCUGGCGCAAGGAAUUAAUAACCAAUUAGACGCGGUCUUAAGGCCGCGAGCGGUGUUCAACGAUUUCCAGAGAGUCGACCGACAUGUUAAAUUACGCUUUUUUCUGCUUGUAUAAGCAUUACUGACGGCUACUAAUUACGUGAAGUCUACGCGAUGAAAAAGUGAAAGAGAAAGAGGAAGAAAGAGAAAAGCGGAUCGAGCAAAAUCUUCGUUGAUGCCGUUUACACGCGGCGGAUCGCGUACCACUGCGUGCUCGGAAGUCACCGUGCAUCGUGACUUCUUAUCCGGGAUCUCAGACGAUGGUAACUGUUCAUUUGUCGACGAACAGACCGCACGACAGGGAACGUGGCCGACAAUCCAUCGACCUAGUCGCAAGAACGGCGAUAGUAACGACUUCCGGUACGUGAAAGGCAACUCUAUGGCGACUGUCUUAUGGAUAUUUUUCGAAGCAUCCCUCUUUGUGAUGCGGAUCGAUCGUUUCGUGUAGGAUGUAUAAGUUCAUGUGAUUGGGUAAAAGGAGACUCUGAUGCGAAUUUCGAGAGUGAAUUUCAGACUUGGAUACGCUUAUCGUAAGGCAAACCCUUUAUACAUACCAUUGUUUGAAUGAAAAGUCGUAUGGAAUGGUAAAAUUAACAAAUAUGUGUAUGUAUAAUAAA